rnacentral:rRNA from 1 species
AACGAACGCUGGCGGCAGGCUUAACACAUGCAAGUCGAACGCCCCGCAAGGGGAGUGGCAGACGGGUGAGUAACGCGUGGGAAUCUACCCAGUUCUACGGAACAACAGAGGGAAACUUCUGCUAAUACCGUAUACGCCCUAAGGGGGAAAGAUUUAUCGGAAUUGGAUGAGCCCGCGUAAGAUUAGCUAGUUGGUGAGGUAAUGGCUCACCAAGGCGACGAUCUUUAGCUGGUCUGAGAGGAUGAUCAGCCACACUGGGACUGAGACACGGCCCAGACUCCUACGGGAGGCAGCAGGGGGGAAUAUUGGACAAUGGGCGCAAGCCUGAUCCAGCCAUGCCGCGUGAGUGAUGAAGGCCUUAGGGUUGUAAAGCUCUUUCAGUAGGGAAGAUAAUGACGGUACCUACAGAAGAAGCCCCGGCUAACUUCGUGCCAGCCGCCGCCGUAAUAC